rnacentral:rRNA from 1 species
UAAUACGUAGGGCGCAAGCGUUAUCCGGAAUUAUUGGGCGUAAAGAGCUCGUAGGCGGUUUGUCGCGUCUGCUGUGAAAGACCGGGGCUCAACUCCGGUUCUGCAGUGGGUACGGGCAGACUAGAGUGCAGUAGGGGAGACUGGAAUUCCUGGUGUAGCGGUGAAAUGCGCAGAUAUCAGGAGGAACACCGAUGGCGAAGGCAGGUCUCUGGGCUGUAACUGACGCUGAGGAGCGAAAGCAUGGGGAGCGAACAGGAUUAGAUACCCUGGUAGUCCAUGCCGUAAACGUUGGGCACUAGGUGUGGGGGACAUUCCACGUUUUCCGCGCCGUAGCUAACGCAUUAAGUGCCCCGCCUGGGGAGUACGGCCGCAAGGCUA